AGUGAACGCUGGCGGUAGGCCUAACACAUGCAAGUCGAACGGCAGCACAGUAAGAGCUUGCUCUUACGGGUGGCGAGUGGCGGACGGGUGAGGAAUACAUCGGAAUCUACUUUUUCGUGGGGGAUAACGUAGGGAAACUUACGCUAAUACCGCAUACGACCUACGGGUGAAAGCAGGGGAUCUUCGCACCUUGCGCGAUUGAAUGAGCCGAUGUCGGAUUAGCUAGUUGGCGGGGUAAAGGCCCACCAAGGCGACGAUCCGUAGCUGGUCUGAGAGGAUGGUCGGCCACACUGGAGCUGGGACACGGUCCAGACUCCUACGGGAGGCAGCAGUGGGGAAUAUUGGACAAUGGGCGCAAGCCUGAUCCAGCCAUCCCGCGUGGGUGAAGAAGGCCUUCGGGUUGUAAAGCCCUUUUGUUGGGAAAGAAAAGCAGCAGGUUAAUACCCCGCUGUUCUGACGGUACCCAAAGAAUAAGCACCGGCUAACUUCGUG
rnacentral:rRNA from 1 species